rnacentral:rRNA from 1 species
CCUACGGGAGGCAGCAGUGGGGGAUAUUGCACAAUGGGGGGAACCCUGAUGCAGCGACGCCGCGUGGGUGAAGGAGCGUUUCGGCGCGUAAAGCCCUAUCGGCAGGGAAGAAGAUGACGGUACCUGACCAAGAAGCCCCGGCUAACUACGUGCCAGCAGCCGCGGUAAUACGUAGGGGGCAAGCGUUAUCCGGAAUUACUGGGUGUAAAGGGAGCGUAGACGGCGAGGUAAGCCUGAAGUGGAAGCCCGCGGCCCAACCGCGGAACUGCUUUGGGAACUGUUUUGCUGGAGUAUGGGAGGGGUAAGCGGAAUUCCUGGUGUAGCGGUGAAAUGCGUAGAUAUCAGGAGGAACACCGGUGGCGAAGGCGGCAUACCGGCGCCCGACUGACGCUGAGGCACGAAAGCGUGGGGAUCGAACAGGAUUAGAUACCCCUGUAGUC